UCUUAUCUGGAGUUCAGCACCCUCUUGUGAUCACCCUGUCUGCAUUCUCAUCCUCCUCCAAUCCCUCCAUCCUUCACACCUCUGUCAGGUUAAUCUUUCCAAAAUGACUUUCAUGCUUUCACUUCAUAGAAAAGUUUGGAACAGAACUCCCUAUUAGCUACAGAAUACAGCCCACUUGCUUUUCCAAACUAACCUGAGCUUUUUCCCUACACAAGCUUUCUGCUGCAGCCAAACUUAGUACAUCCCUUCUACCUUUUUUCCUGUGCUAGUGUCAUUUCUCAUGCCUGGAGUACUUAUCUUUUUCCUAACCAGAUGCUCUGGAAGUUUCUUCAACCUUGAAAUCCUACCUUACAUUCUGCUUCUUCAAGAACAUUCCAGUCCACUGUAAGAAUAGCCAGAUACACCUUGCAGUUUACAAAAUAUGUCUGCCUGAGUGGGCAACUCUAUUAGCCCCAAUGUAUGAAUGAGAGAGUUGAGACACAGAAGGUUGACUGAUUUGCCAGAGGCUACAGAGCAGCUGCUAUUCAGAGCCUAGACCUAGCCUUAGGUUUUUUUCUUCAGAUCUGCUUUUACCUCAGUAAUCACUCCCUCUGACCUCACAGCAUUAUGGUCUUCAUCACUCCUUCAAUCCUUAUUCACACACUGUCUACCAGCAGAAAGAGCCUUGAGAGUUGGGGGCAAGGCAUAAGAGACAUCAUCCUCUAUUUGACAUCAAAAGUGGCCUGUAAGUGCACAGGUAAUGAGCUGAGCUACCUGGAAAUGACCCUUGUUGGUUGCCAACAUUUAAAAAUUUUUUAAAAAUUUGGAUUUCUGGCGUUUUGAAAAAACUAAGACUUGGCAACACUGGACCCACAUUCUUUUAGGUGAGGCUCUUUACUCUUUAUAUGACUAACCCCUGGAGGCAUUUGAAUUGGUUACCCCUGGCUUAAGUUCAUUCUGCCAAGCAAGCCCCUUAAUUUUCCCAGGUCAGGGGCUAUAGGAAGGAGAGAGAAGAGCUAAAUAAAGGUGAAAAGGAAGAAGGGGAUAGAAAAGGGAUCAUUUGGCCUUCCCUCACUUAUCUUCAAAUCAGAGACUCAUUGCAUGUGCAUGCUCAGUCAUGUCUGACUCUUUGCAGCCCCAUAAACUAUAGCCUGCCAGGCUCCUCUCUCCAUGGAAUUUUCCAGGCAAGAAUACUGGAAGUAUGAAUACCAUUUUGUACUUCAGGGGAUCUUCCUGAUCCAGGGAUAGAACCCACGUCUACUGUGUCUCCUGCAUUGGCAGGUGGAUUCUUUACUAUUGUGGCACCUGGGAAACCAGAGACUCAUUGCUGUGCCUUUAAUUUAACCAUUACCCUUGUAGAGUUAAUUCAAUUGCUCUUCUAAGACAGAAAUCAAAUACUCUGUAUUCUUACCCUGAUUUGUGCAUACUGGUUUGGAAAGUCAUGCCACUUCCUCAGAUACCCAGAAUGGUUAUUCA
ensembl:lncRNA